GACGAACGCUGGCGGCGUGCUUAACACAUGCAAGUCGAGCGGUAAGGCCCUUUCGGGGGUACACGAGCGGCGAACGGGUGAGUAACACGUGGGUGACCUGCCCUCAGCUCUGGGAUAAGCCCGGGAAACUGGGUCUAAUACCGGAUAUGACUUCAUGACGCAUGUUGUGGAGUGGAAAGCCUUGUGCGGCUGAGGAUGGGCCCGCGGCCUAUCAGCUUGUUGGUGGGGUGAUGCCUACCAAGGCGACGACGGGUAGCCGGCCUGAGAGGGCGACCGGCCACACUGGGACUGAGAUACGGCCCAGACUCCUACGGGAGGCAGCAGUGGGGAAUCUUGCGCAAUGGGCGAAAGCCUGACGCAGCGACGCCGCGUGAGGGAUGACGG
rnacentral:rRNA from 1 species